rnacentral:lncRNA from 1 species
UCUAACUAAAGCAGCCAGCUCCUGACAUUUGGAUAAUGGCUCAGCUGAAGCUCACACAUGCAGCAGGGUCAGCUGGAUAGCCAGGCAUCCCACAGCAUCCACUUCAGUCCAGAGUUGGCAUUUGAAGACAAGGAGUGAGACCAGCACAACUGCAAGCCUUUAAUACACCUUCCUGCCUGUGGUGGCCUGAUCCAAACCUUGAUGCAGCCUGAGGAAAGAU